AUAAAGCUAUUUAACCAAAUUUG
rnacentral:miRNA from 1 species